AGAGUGGUAGAGGUCCCGAUCAGGUUGUUUUAACAAGCUAGUUAGGCCAGAUAGGCUAAACUAGUAGUUCGUAGUUCCCCAGGCCAGCGGGGUAGGUGAUGUGACAUCCCCAAUUUCACGGCCAGAAAAGACCGAUUUGUUUAUGCUUUGUUUUAUAAACCAGAGUAAUCAUUUAAAGAAAACGGUUGCAGAAUUUGUUCCCAAAACAAGAUAUGAUAAUAACUUAUCAAAACAUUUCUCAAAGAGAAUGUAUUUUCAUUUAAUAAUAAAACCUCGGGAUGUCAUGUUUUGAUACAGACAUAUAAGUAUAAACUGAACUUACAUUUAAUUACACUAAUGAUUUAUAUCUCCUUUAAAUCUCUCUAUGAAAUAUGUCUUCGUAUCGAUACCUGUGAUACAAAGAAAACUGAGUGGGUCAGGCUUGGGAGCCUGGUGAGCAUAUAGGGUUUUCAUCCCACAAUGUUAUAUCAUAUAAAUAUAUAUAGAACAUCCAAAAUUAUAUAAUUUCACCAUAUAAAAGCAACUCUUAUCCCACCCCAUUGAUCCUCACAACGCCACGAUCUAAACUCUCGUAUCUAAACUUUUCCUCUUUAUCUGAUCCCUACUCACGGAUCUAAACUAAUCUCUCCACCUGAUCCAUACUCUCGAACCAAAAACUAACCUCUUGGUCUAAUCCAUACUCCCGGAUCUAAACUAAUCUCUUGGUCUGAUCCAUACUCCCGGAUCUAAAACUGUGCCCAAUCCAUACUCCCGGACUAGGGACAAUUAACUAUGUCUUAAUCCAUACUCUCGGAAUAAUAACAAGUUUACCUAUUGGUCCGGAUCCUGAUCCAUACUCCCAGAUCUAAAACUGUGCCCAAUCCAUACUCCCGGACUAGGGACAAUUAACUAUGUCUUUAUCCAUAUUCCUGGAUUAAUAACAAGUUUACCUAUUGGUAUGAUCCAUACUCCCGGAUCUAAAACUGUGCCCAAUCCAUACACCCGGACUAGGGACAAUUUACUAUACCUAUAUCCUGUUCUGAUCCAUACUCCCGGAUCUAAACUGUGCCCAAUCCAUACUCCCGGACUAGGGACAAUUUACUAUGUCUUAAUCCAUACUCCCGGAUUAAUAACAAGUUUAUCUUUUUUCCUAUUCCAUAUUCUCGGAUCUAAAUCCAAUCUCUUGAUCUAAUCUAUACUCACGGAUCUAAAACUAAUCCCUUGAUCUGAUCCAUACUCACAGAUCCCAUCUACCCAUGUCCUACCCAACAUAUUCAUAGAUAAAAAAAUAUACAUACAGUUUAACUCAUUAAAACCUAUAUAGUUCAUCCAUUCCAUACUCAUCUCAAAUAAACAAACAAUUUAUAAACACAUAGCACGUAUAUCAUAACAAAUACUUAAUAUUUAUGUGUUAGAAGAAAGUGACCACACACUCACCCAAAACAUAUACUUAAUACAUUCAAACAAUACUUGUAUUAUAAUCGUGUUUAUGAAAGGGACUAUACACUCACACAUAUAAGCAACUUUAUAUUAUACACAUAGCACGUAUUUCAUAGCAAAUACUUAAUAUUUAUGUGUUAGAAGAAGGUAACUACACACUCACUCAUAUAAACAACAAUAUAUAUACACAUAGCAUGUAUUUUAUAAAAUACUUCAUAUAUAUGUGUAAGAUGAAAGUGACUAUACACUCACUUGAUCAGAAGAUGAUCGGACAGCACUACGACUUGUAGAAGUAGUAUUCUUCGGUAGAUCUUCACAAAACUGGGUUUCUCGCGGGCAGAGCUUCGGCUCGGAAACUCUUUUCUUCUCGGGAUCUUCGGGUUUCGGAACUUGCUUCGGGUCUCGGGGUUGAUACCGGGGCUUCGGGGGGUUAAAAUAGGGCUUAGAGGGUGUAUCAGGAGUGGGAGAGAAGGGAUGGAGCAACCAUAGUCGGCUGGCCCUUCAAAUCUAUUUAUAGGGCAAAUUUGGCCCUUGCCACGUCGUGGCACCCUUUUUCCACGUCAUGGGCUUGGUCUUCACUGCAUACGUCAUCGCAAGUUGCAUCAGGGGGGACUCCCGGAGGUGUCAGGAGACUUGCCACGUCGUGGUACUGCUUGCCACGUCAUGGUCUCUGACAGUUUUGGGGUUUCGCGCCCCAAACCUUAGAAAUUCAUAACUUUCGCAUAUGAACUCCGUUUUCGACGUUCUUUAUAUCUAUGCGAAGGUGAGAUUAUGAUCUAUAACUCUCGUUUAGACUCUAUUGGCUAAUUUUUAAUUUAUUUUUAAUAUAUUAUAAUUAUAUUACUUAUAUAUUAUUUUUAGUAGGCCGGGACAGGAAAACUCCGUUAUAAACUCAUAACUCCUUCAUCUGAACUCCGUUUUCGUCUGUCUUUUUAUCGUUGGACUACUAUCGAUGAGAUCUUCAAUUCUCAUUUAGAUCACUAAGGAUAGAUAUCUAUCUACCUUAAAUUCACUAUUUACGUCGCGCUGGGUCGUGCUGGGUCAUGCCGGUUCUAUCGCGAAACAUCGACAUGUCAUAACUUCUUCGUUAUAACUCGGAUUUUGGCGUUCAUUAUAUGCACGGAAACCUUGUGACAUAUACUACAACUUGGUUAAGAUUAAUCCUUCUAAAUAAUCUUCCAUCAAAAAGUCAUUUUUGACGUCUAUCGUCUCUAAAUUGACUAGCCCGGAUCUACGGGCGUUACAAUUAUCUCCCCCUUAGGAUGAUUACGUCCCGAAAUCAUCAACGAAAUAGGGCUUGCAUAAUGAUUCCACACGUUAUCUCUUCAUCCUAGGUUAUAACCGUAACUUCUAUGUUUCCUCGAAAGAGUAUCUAACUCUUGGACUUCUCAAUAGCAGGUAGUUCUCAAUCCUGCAUUUGCUCUUCGUACUAUGUUGUACUUUCAAUCGUAACUUACAAGUUACAAAAUAAAUCCUUAUUGUGGACUCCUUCCUCUUCUUAGGAUAAAUACUUUCCUUUAUCUAUUGCAACAUACCGAUGGGUCGUGCUCUACCGACCUCUCAUCGAAUGAUGCAAUACUUAGACUCAGGUCUCUUAGAGUUAAAUUCCAUAAUGGAAUAUACCUUCCUUCAUAUUCUAAUGUGAUAUAAUCACAUUUUUACAUGUAGAAUUUCUAGCUACAAGCUUCCUUAACAACGAGCGUGAUGCUAUUGAUCGCAUUGAUUUCAAUCUUCUGACUUGAUUCAGAUGCUACCUCGAACUUGGUUCUCUGAACCACGUAACAAACUCAUCGUAGUCGGACUCAAUUUGAUAUGAUCACUAGGGUCGGAAUAACAACCAUCUUACUAGUCACUACCAAAACAAGGGUAAUGACACACUUGAACAAAACGGAAUCAAUUACUAGCUUCUUGGUAACCUUGUGACUUUCCCUGAUCCAAGUGCGAGUCCUGUGCUUCUGGUAGUAUAUGCAUCUACUACCUUUCACACCUACUCAUACUCGUCCCAAGUAUUGUCCCGCAGUCGACCAAGUCACCAUACAAGAAAAUCACAAAACAAUUUAACACAUACGAAUGUGUCCAAAUAAUCAUAAACAAUUUCCCUAGAUUCUACUAAGACUUCUUCAUUGCUCAAUCUUCAAUCAUCAACUCUACUUCAACUCGAUUGGUGAUGGAAAUUCCAGACGAUGGGACAGCUUCAAGAAUCACACCAACCGUUCCAUCAUCCUGCCAAUCGAAAGUGUACUUCAGACGUACCGUACUCCUCUAAACGUACUGUUAUUUCAUAAGACAUACUCUAAAGGCAAGAUACCACUCUUACGAUAUCUUCUGAUAGGUGUCAUCCACUAUCAUAAGCCUUCUUCAUUUCCUCCAUUUACUCAAUUUAUCUACGAGUCUUCACCAUGACCUCUUGUACAUCCAAGCAGACAUUUGGUGUACCAAGCGAGAAUUUUUAAGAUAAGAAAGUUUUUUAAUUAUGAUAAACAUAUAAAUCUCCUUAUCACCCCGAAACGUUUACAUGCUAGUUCUAAUUUCGUAGUCGUACGCUUAGAAUCCUAAACACAUAAGGUUUCCAGAUCUGGUCGGCAACAGACCAUAGAUCUGAACAAAUAAUAACAUCAAUUUAGCUAUCACACAAAACACAUAAAAUCAUUUUAGGAAUCAUUCCUAAAAUAAACUAGUGCUUGUGUAAAUUUAGGUGUACUACCUAACAUAUUUUAGACACACUCCUCAUAAUCAUUACUUAGCAUUCUAAGUUUAAGUCUAGAAAUUUCCUACAAAUUCCUAGUUCGCUUAAACUAAUGCUCUGAUACCAACUGUGACAUCCCCAUUUUCACGGCCAGAAAAGACCGAUUUGUUUAUGCUUUGUUUUAUAAACUAGAGUAAUCGUUUAAAGAAAACGGUUGCGGAAUUUGUUCCCAAACAAGAUAUGAUAAUAACUUAUCAAAACAUUUCUCAAAGAGAAUGUAUUUUCAUUUAAUAAUAAAACCUCGGGAUGUCAUGUUCUGAUACAGACAUAUAAGCAUAAACCGAACUUACAUUUAAUUACACUAAUGAUUUAUAUCUCCUUUAAAUCUCUCUGUGAAAUAUGUCUUCGUAUCGAUACCUGUGAUACAAAGAAAACUGAGUGGGUCAGGCUUGGGAGCCUGGUGAGCAUAUAGGGUUUUCAACCCACAAUAAUAUAAUUAUUAUAUUUAAUCAGCAAACAAUCAACCCAAUUACCCAUCCCCAUUAUCUUCUUAAGGUUUUACCCUAAGAACCAACUAUCCUUCAUUCAUUUAUUCGUAAGGAAUUGGCACGAAUUCCAUUGCUGCCAAAGCUUAUUUAUCAAGUACUAAAUCCAUAGUUAUCAGGCGCUAACUCCAUAGUCACCAAGGUUCACUUAACAAUAGGCGCUAACUCCAUAGUCACCAAGGUUUAUACAAUAGGCGCUAACUCCAUAGUCACCAAGGUUUAUACAAUAGGCGCUAACUCCAUAGUCACCAAGGUUUAUACAAUAGGCGCUAACUCCAUAGUCACCAAGGUUUAUACAAUAGGCGCUAACUCCAUAGUCACCAAGGUUUAUACAAUAGGCGCUAACUCCAUAGUCACCAAGGUUUAUACAAUAGGCGCUAACUCCAUAGUCACCAAGGUUUAUACAAUAGGCGCUAACUCCAUAGUCACCAACUAUCCCAUCUACCCAUGUUCUACCCAACAUUUUCGUAGAUAUAAAUACUUACACAGUUUAAAUCAUUUAACACCUGUAUAAAACUCCAAAUUCCAUGCCCAUCUCAAAUAGACAAAUAAUAUAUAAACACAUAGCACGUAUUUCAUAGCAAAUACUUCAUAUUUAUGUGUUAGAAGAAAGUAACUACACACUCACACCAAAAAUAUACUUAAUACAUUCAAACAAUACUUGUAUUAUUAUCGUGUUUAUGAAAGGGACUAUACACUCACUUGAUCAGAAGAUGAUCGGACAACACUACGGCUCUUCAAGUAGAUAUUCUUCGGUGAAACCGGGAUCACUUCACACACCGGGUUUCUCGCGGGCAGAGCUUCGGCUCGGAAACUCUUUUCUUCUCGGGAUCUUCGGGCUUCGGGACUUGCUUCGGGUCUCGGGGUUGAUACCGGGGCUUCGGGGUACUUCUGGCACGCAAAUCGAGGUAAAACGGGAGAGAGAAGAGAGAAAAUAGCAACCCUAAACGGCUGGCCCUUCAAAUCUAUUUAUAGGGCAAAUUUGGCCCUUGCCACGUCGUGGCAACCUUUUUCCACGUCGUGGGCUUGGUCGUCACUGCAUGCGUCAUCCCAAGUUGCAUCUGGGGGCCUUCCGGAGGUGUCAGGACACUUGCCACGUCGUGGCACUGCUUGCCACGUCGUGGUCUCUGACAGUUUUGGGGUUUCGCGCCCCGAACUUCAGAAAUUCAUAACUUUCGCAUACGAACUCCGUUUUCGACGUUCUUUAUAUCGACGCGAAGGUGAGAUUAUGCUCUACAACUCUCGUUUAGACUCCAUUGGCUAAUUUUUACUUUAUUUUUAAUAUAUUAUAAUUAUAUUACUUAUAUAUUAUUUUUAGUAGGCCGGGACAGGAAAACUCCGUUAUAAACUCAUAACUCCUUCAUCUGAACUCCGUUUUCGUCUGUCUUUUUAUCGUUGGACUACUAUCGAUGAGAUCUUCAAUUCUCAUUUAGAUCACUAAGGAUAGAUAUCUAUCUACCUUAAAUUCACUAUUUACGUCGCGCUGGGUCAUGCUGGGUCAUGCCGGUUCUAUCGCGAAACAUCGACAUGUCAUAACUUCUUCAUUAUAACUCGGAUUUUGGCGUUCAUUAUAUGCACGGAAACCUUGUGACAUAUACUACAACUUGGUUAAGAUUAAUCCUUCUAAAUAAUCUUCCAUCAAAAAGUCAUUUUUGACGUCUAUCGUCUCUAAAUUGACUAGCCCGGAUCUACGGGCGUUACAGGUGCUUAGCUUGUUAGGAACCGAAGGCUGUUUGCGUACUUGCUUGUUCAAGCCUGAAAAGAAGCCAAUAAGGCGCAGUUACAGCGGGAAAGGGUUGAAGUCGCGAAAUCAGGCAUAGGGUGUACGAAUAGCACUGAUCAUAGACCAUCCAGAUGCUUAUGGGGCAGAACAGACCGAUUGAUUAGUUCCCGUGAUCGUAGAUCCACUUUAGCUAAUGCAACUCGGGAAGAAGCUGCUAAGAUCCCGUCGCUUACAAAUGCUCCAGCGUGAAAUAAAGACUUUUUUAGGUACAGGGAUAAAUUCGUACAAUAGUGCGAGGACGAAAAAGAAAACGACCUUCUUUGACGCAUGUUCUCCCAG
rnacentral:lncRNA from 1 species